UGACUCUUAAGGCCGAGAACACAGUGGGU
rnacentral:piRNA from 1 species